rnacentral:rRNA from 1 species
GAGGAAGUAAAAGUCGUAACAAGGUUUCCGUAGGUGAACCUGCGGAAGGAUCAUUAUCGAAUUAUAAGCGAGGGUUGUAGCUGGCCUCCCUUUCGAGGCAUGUGCACGCCUGAGCUCUUAAAUCCACAACACACCUGUGAACCCACCGUAGGCCUUCGGGCUUAUGUAUCAUAUACUCUGAAUGUGUCAUAGAAUGUUCAUGUUGCCUUAAAACGCAAUCAAAUACAACUUUCAACAACGGAUCUCUUGGCUCUCGCAUCGAUGAAGAACGCAGCGAAAUGCGAUAAGUAAUGUGAAUUGCAGAUUUUCAGUGAAUCAUCGAAUCUUUGAACGCACCUUGCGCUCCUUGGUAUUCCGAGGAGCAUGCCUGUUUGAGUGUCAUUAAAUCCUCAACCCCACCGAUUUGCUUCGGGGGGAUUGGACUUGGAGCGUGCUGGCGAAGGUCGGCUCCUCUUUAAAUGCAUCAGCGGAGAAGAAAGCUCGUCCCAGUGUGAUAAUCCUGUUGCGCUGUGGUGGGGUGAAAAUUCCGCUUCCAACCGUCCUCCGGGACAAGACAUCUCAAUUUGACCUCAAAUCAGGUAGGACUACCUGCUGAACUUAAGCAUAU